CCACCCACUCUCCCAGCAGCCAGAGUCCUCUGAAACACAGGCCAUCGAUGACUUCCUCUGCCCUGGACUUGUACCCAAGCUCCUUACCAGACCCCCAGGACCUGGCUUUGCCCACCUCUCUGCUGGAACCCCUCUCUGCCCUGGGGCAUUGGCACAUGCCACCCCCACGACCUGGGCCCAUGCUUCUGGGAUAGCUAGGUCGGACCAGCCUUCAGGCCUCGUACCCAUGUCCACCUUGGCACGGCCUCCCCACUGCCCCCUCGUUAGCCUAUCUCCUUCCACACGGUAGCCGACAUGGCACUGACUCCAGCGUGCCACCACACAUCAGGGAUUCUUAGAGGGGAAAGAAGAAGGCCAAUCCUGAGGGUUCUGAGGAAGGAACCGCCACAAAAGGGUGGAUGUUACAGAGACCAGCAUGAAGCAUCCACCAGCGACAUGGGCAGUGAUGCUGGUAAUGAGCUCACCAUCGGGAAAGCACGCAAGAAGAGCCCAGGAUACACAGGCCCUCGGCAUCCAUGUCAUGCUGCGAUGCAUCCCAUAGAGCUCAGCCUUCCUGGUUCUAUUCCUCAGGAACUCGUGACUAUUUAGAUGAGUUCUCAGCUUUUAUUCUCAGUUAAUAAACUGAAUUUUCCAUCAGUCAAUCAAA